rnacentral:rRNA from 1 species
UUCUAAUUGAAUUCAUUAUUAGUAUGGCCUGCUCAAUGAAUAAUUGAAUAGCCGCAGAUUUUUCUGUGCUAAGGUAGCAAAAUCAUUUGCCUUUUAAUUGAAGGCUAGAAUGAAAGGUUGAACAUGUAAUUUACUUUAUUAAAUAGAUUUCUAAAACUUAUUUUUCAAGUAAAAAACCUUGAAUUUAAUAGAGGGACGACAAGACCCUAUCGAGCUUUACUAUUGUUUCACUGGGGAGGUGAAAUAAUUAUAACUUUUUUUAUUAAUUAACCUUAAUGAAAGAAUAAUGAACAAGUUACCGUAGGGAUAACAGCAUAAUUUUUCUUUAGAGACCUUAUCGUAAGAAAAGAUUGUGACCUCGAUGUUGAAUAAAUUAUCUAUUAAGAGCAAGAUCUUAACAAGAAAGUCUGUUCGACUUUUAAUUAUUUACA